rnacentral:lncRNA from 1 species
GUGAGUCUUACAAUGGGAAGAUGGGGGAGGCAGCACACUGGGGUCAGGAGUGGAGAUACUUAGGCUCCCCAGAGAAAUUAGUCACAAGUCUUAUCCCUUCAUCUCCAUUUACAGCCAUUUAUUUGGGAGCAACAUACUUUAAAUGAGUGAUAAACAAAAUGUCUCCCCACAGCCCCCACCCCAGCAUGUGUUCUGAAGUUCACAGGAAGGCUUCUCCUCAUUUGCUUUGGGGCCCGCAGGCUGCCUGCUAACAGCUGGGUCUUCCCAUGAACAAAUUAGACAGUUAAUGUUCCAGGAUGAAGAGGGCUUCGGGGAACAGAAUCUGCCGUUUAUUUGACUUGCUUCAUUAGACACAGUGCCAUCAUACCAAAAUUAGAAAAAAGAAGGAACUCAGCGGAAAUCAGCUACACAAGAAGAACCUCUCAGUUCUGAGAAUUCACAUUAACCAGUGAUUAAGAAAUAUUAAAAAGGGCUGAUAGUCCACUACGUUAUCAAGUUCAAAGCCUAAGAAAUAUUGAACAUUUCCACACAUGAAUGUGGGUACUAUGUUUAAUUUGAGAAUGGCCAACUGUCCUCGAAGUCUCAAUCUCUUUGGAGCCUACCAGCUCCGAGAGAAGUUUGAGGAUGCUGCAAAACCCUCCCCUGCAAAUCCAUCUACUCCUCCCACUUCUAUCCUAAUGGGUAUAGUUCUUGGCUGUGCUGAGGAUCUGUAAGGCACCAGAUGUGAAAGUAAGGAAGAAAGAUGGAUGUGGAAGAAAGUCACUGCCCAGAGAAUAAGGAGACCUGGAUUCUAAUCUCAGCUCUGCCAUUAACUAGCUGUGAGACUCAAGAAUAACUAAUCAUUUUGAUAACUCGUUUUUUUACUUUUUAAAAUGAGGAGCCAAGUUUAGACAAUGAGCUCGGCUCUUCACCAGUGAUAAAGUGUCUGGGACAUGCUUCCAUUCAAGCAAUGCUCUUCCUUCUUGAUGAAACUAUGGCUCAAAAGGGAAUAAGAGAUCAAGGCAAGCAUGGACAUCUUGUACGUGGAAGUGCAGACCAGAACUUGUAUCACAGCCAGUCAUAUCUGGUGCUUUCCAUGCUACUUUUACAUACAUGUAUCCUUAAAUUUGAUCCUCUUCUAGUUUAGUCUAAACUCUUUACUUUGUAACUUCCAAACCUAAAAGGUGCAGCAGACAUUGACAAUCUUAAUUCAUUUGUCAGGUCAUUUGGUUUCUUGGUUUCCUAAGGGACUGUAUCCUUCCUGCCCUGCUAAUGGGGAGACUUUUUGUUUUUUGUUUUCUGUUUUCCUUAAUAAGUGAGGCCAAGUGCUGUGUGUAACUGUGGGGUGGGCAAAAUUAGGAUUCCUGAAUCACUUCACUUUUUGUUGCCUUUCUCUUGGGAGAAUGGUUACCAUUGCAGAGAAGCAUAGUUAAAAUUGCUUUUGUGUUUCAUAAACGAAUUCAUACUUAGAUGUCAUUGACCAACAACUAAAUAGUAUAUCAGAGAUGAAAGGCAUCCUAGAGAUGACCAAAUCAAGCUCUUCAUUACUCAAAGGAGAAAAAAAUCCAGAAAGUGGAUGACAUAUGUUGAACUAGUGAUGGAAGUAGAACAGGGUAGUGUAUUUUCUGCCUCUUAAUUCUUCAUUUUUUACACUAAACCAGAUAUUAGGUAUAUGACUAGGAAGAUACGUGAGGUAAGGAGCAGAGGGUUUGGCUCCAAACUCAUCAUGUAGUCAUCCUCCUCCAAGCUCUGAGAGCUUCUCUCACAUGUUAAUUCAGAGGCAGUAACAAAAGAAUUAAUGCUCCUGAAGGUUUCUCAAUUUUAUCAUCUGGAAAGUGGAGUGAACCUUUGCAGAGUCCUUCUGAAGAGGGCUGACCUUGGACUGCACUAGGUUAUAUUCAUUUGCUAUUACUCAGCAAUAAAAAGUAAAUGCAACAAUAUAAA